rnacentral:rRNA from 1 species
GAUGAACGCUGGCGGCGUGCCUAAUACAUGUAAGUCGAGCGAACAGACGAGGAGCUUGGUGAUAUGAUGUUAGAGGAGGAAGGGUGAGUAAAACGUGGAUAAAAUAAAUAUAAGAAUGGGAUAAGUUAGGGAAAACGGAGCUAAUACCGGAUAACAUGUUGAACCGCAUGGUUCAACAGUGAAAGACGGUCUUGCUGUCACUUAUAGAUGGAUCCGCGCCGCAUUAGCUAGUUGGUAAGGUAACGGCUUACCAAGGCAACGAUGCGUAGCCGACCUGAGAGGGUGAUCGGCCACACUGGAACUGAGACACGGUCCAGACUCCUACGGGAGGCAGCAGUAGGGAAUCUUCCGCAAUGGGCGAAAGCCUGACGGAGCAACGCCGCGUGAGUGAAGAAGGUCUUCGGAUCGUAAAACUCUGUUAUUAGGGAAGAACAAAUGUGUAAGUAACUAUGCACGUCUUGACGGUACCUAAUCAGAAAGCCACGGCUAACUACGUG